CCUACGGGAGGCAGCAGUGAGGAAUAUUGGUCAAUGGACGAGAGUCUGAACCAGCCAAGUAGCGUGAAGGAUGACUGCCCUAUGGGUUGUAAACUUCUUUUAUAUGGGAAUAAAAUGUUCCACGUGUGGGAUUUUGUAUGUACCAUAUGAAUAAGGAUCGGCUAACUCCGUGCCAGCAGCCGCGGUAAUACGGAGGAUCCGAGCGUUAUCCGGAUUUAUUGGGUUUAAAGGGAGCGUAGGUGGAUGGUUAAGUCAGUUGUGAAAGUUUGCGGCUCAACCGUAAAAGUGCAGUUGAAACUGGCAGUCUUGAGUACAGUAGAGGUGGGCGGAAUGCGUGGUGUAGCGGUGAAAUGCUUAGAUAUCACGAAGAACUCCGAUUGCGAAGGCAGUUCACUGGACUGCAACUGACACUGAGGCUCGAAAGUGUGGGUAUCAAACAGGAUUAGAUACCCGGGUAGUC
rnacentral:rRNA from 1 species